rnacentral:tRNA from 1 species
GCGGAAGUGGCGAAAUGGGUAGACGCACCAGAUUUAGAUUCUGGCACCUCUAUUGGUAUACGAGUUCAAAUCUCGUCUUCCGCA